rnacentral:rRNA from 1 species
AGUCAUGUGCUUGUCUCAAAGAUUAAGCCAUGCAUGUCUCAGUACAAGCCAAAUUAAGGUGAAACCGCGAAAGGCUCAUUAAAUCAGUUAUGGUUCCUUAGAUCGUACCCACACUUACUUGGAUAACUGUGGUAAUUCUAGAGCUAAUACAUGCAAAUAGAGCUCCGACCAGAAACGGAAGGAGUGCUUUUAUUAGAUCAAAACCAAUCGGCGACGGGUCAAACCGUUGUCGUAAUAUUUGGUGACUCUGAAUAACUUUAUGCUGAUCGCACGGUCUAGCACCGGCGACGCAUCUUUCAAAUGUCUGCCUUAUCAACUGUCGAUGGUAGGUUCUGCGCCUACCAUGGUUGUAACGGGUAACGGGGAAUCAGGGUUCGAUUCCGGAGAGGGAGCCUGAGAAACGGCUACCACAUCCAAGGAAGGCAGCAGGCGCGCAAAUUACCCACUCCCGGCACGGGGAGGUAGUGACGAAAAAUAACGAUACGGGACUCAUCCGAGGCCCCGUAAUCGGAAUGAGUACACUUUAAAUCCUUUAACAAGGAUCAAUUGGAGGGCAAGUCUGGUGCCAGCAGCCGCGGUAAUUCCAGCUCCAAUAGCGUAU